GGGCGGUUAGCUCAGUGGUAGAGCGCCUCGUUUACACCGAGGUGGCCGUGGGUUCGAAUCCCUCACCGCCCA
rnacentral:tRNA from 1 species